UUUUUUUUUUUGAUUUUUUUUGAUUUUUUUGAUUUUUUUUUUGACUGAGAGAGGCUUGUCGAAAUAAUUUGCCCCAGUGUGAUGAAUUGGUCAGUGGGAUUAAACCCAAGCCUGCCCAAUGGAAAGUUGGCGGCACGAAAACCAGGCCCAACGUGAUCCUUGGAAUGUCGGCGGCACCAAGUCCAGGCCCCACUUGAUAUUGUGAAUGUUGGCGGCACUAAAUCCAGACCUAACAUGAACUUUGUGAAGUUGGCGGCACCAAAUCCAGGCCCAACGUGAUGUUGUGAAUGUUGGCGGCAUGAAAUCCAGGCCCAACGUGAUGUUUGGAAUGUUGGCGGCACAAAGUUCAGGCCCAACGUAAUAUUUAGAAUGUUGGCGGCACGAAAUCCAGGCCCAACGUGAACUUUGUGAAGUUGGCGGCAUGAAAUCCAGGCCCAACGGGAUAUUGUGAACAAGAAAUUGAAUUUGAUUUGUCAAGAAACAAGCAAUUAAAUUUGAUUUUUCAAGAAACAAGAAUUUGAACUUGAUUUUUGACUUUUGAAUUUUUCUGAUUUUUCGAGAGAAUCUUUUUCAAAAUAAUUUGCCCCAGUGUCGAGUCCAUUUUUCCCUCCUUCUUCUUGCUUCUCUUUGCAGUAUCGGCCUUCCGCCUCACUGGAUGCUUUUCGUCAUUUUGAAUCAUAAAUAUCUGUACAAGGGGUUCAUCAAAGUAUGACAUGCACUUAAAUUUCAGGAAAAGAGCAGCGGGAUUGAUCCGAAAAAUGUUAUUAUUUGAUUUUUGGACAAAAACCUCAAAUGUAUUACAAAAAAUUUUGCCCCAGUAUGGGCUUAUUUCAUGAAAUCUCACAGAUAAAAUUUUUUCCCCAGUGUGGGCUCCCUUGAUUGCAAAAAUUUGUUCGGAUGAUUUCCCAUUUAUUUGAACAAAGAAAAACCGCACUUUCUAAAAUUUAAAAAAGAAUGCACAUAUACAACAAUGUGAAGAAACUUUAAACGUCAAGUUUGAACUCAUGCAGAAAUUUCAUGAUGAAUUCCUCGAAAUAACACCAAAUUCAAGAAGAUUUCUUCCUCACUUUUAGCAUUGGUGCUUAGGGUAACGGGUCACCACUUCUGGUUGGCUCAUCUUUCAGGACCAAUCAAGUGACUUUAUUUUUGAAAUGGCUAAAGAAAUGGGAGGUCAGAAUUUGUUUUUUUUUUUGACUUUUUUUUUGCCCAAUAUUGUAUGUAAUCCUUUCAAUACCACAUCUUAGUGAAAGCAAAGAGUUUGUCACCCUUAUUUUUCAAGAAAACUUAGUCAACAUACAAGCUUUCUAGGCUUGUAACAUAUGGACAGAAGUGAUAGCUAAACAUGUGGAAACGGGUUAUACCCUUAUGAUCACAAACGAUUUGAUGAAUUUUUUAUGAGCAUGAUCCUCACUUUGGAUUGUCAUGAAAGAAUAAGUCAACGAUGGACUUUAUUAGCUUGUAAUUUGGUUUGAAAACGAUAGCUAAAGAAUAAAACUUUCAAGGACAUUGCACCGAAGAUCGCAUUUUUCCAAAAUUGCCCCUAUUUUGAACUCAAAAGAUCUCAGACUUUCUUUGCAUUUUUCUCAUCACCCACCAAGGACUUCAGCGUCGAAUUUUUCUACAUUUUCUUGCAUUUACUUUUCUUGCUUUGCUUUUUGCCUCUUUUUCCUUUCCCUCAACUUGAUGGAUUUUCACCUGGUGAGUAGCGUCA
rnacentral:lncRNA from 1 species